ACGAACGCUGGCGGCGUGCUUAACACCUGCCAGUCGAACGGAAAGGCCCUGCUUGCCGGGUACUCGAGUGGCGAACGGGUGAGUAACACGUGGGUGAUCUGCCCUGCACUUCGGGAUAAGCCUGGGAAACUGGGUCUAAUACCGGAUAGGAGCCAUUUUUAGUGUGAUGGUUGGAAAGUUUUUUCGGUGUAGGAUGAGCUCGCGGCCUAUCAGCUUGUUGGUGGGGUAAUGGCCUACCAAGGCGGCGACGGGUAGCCGGCCUGAGAGGGUGGACGGCCACAUUGGGACUGAGAUACGGCCCAGACUCCUACGGGAGGCAGCAGUGGGGAAUAUUGCACAAUGGGCGCAAGCCUGAUGCAGCGACGCCGCGUGGGGGAUGACGGCCUUCGGGUUGUAAACUCCUUUCGCUAGGGACGAAGCUUUUGUGACGGUACCUAGAUAAGAAGCACCGGCUAACUACGUG
rnacentral:rRNA from 1 species